rnacentral:rRNA from 1 species
UACGUAGGGGGCAAGCGUUGUCCGGAAUCAUUGGGCGUAAAGAGCGUGUAGGCGGCCAGAAAAGUCCGCUGUGAAAACUCGAGGCUCAACUUCGAGCUGUCGGUGGAAACUUUCUGGCUAGAGUCCGGAAGAGGAGAAUGGAAUUCCUGGUGUAGCGGUGAAAUGCGCAGAUAUCAGGAGGAACACCGAUGGCGAAGGCAGGUCUCUGGGCUGACACUGACGCUCAUGCACGAAAGCGUGGGGAGCAAACAGG